GCGGCCGCGGACCCUGGAUGGUGGCGUCGCCCGAAGACGCGCCUCACCGGCCUGGGUGGGGUUGCCUUUUGCCCUCGAGGCUGGCCUAAGCGCUGGGGGGCCGCUGGCUAACCCUGAGGUAGAUACUCGGGAAAUGGGUGGAAUAGGGAAAGGGACUCAGCCCUUCCGCCCUUUUCCCCAGUCGAGGCCCGCGUCACUGCCCUGUGGGUGCAGACGCCUCCAGUGUCACUCCCCUGGAUUUCGCUUGGGCAGAAGAAGAGAUUGUAGGCCGGACCCCAACGCCGAAGCCCUGAGGCUUCUAAUGUGAGGAAAAACACGGAAUGACAAGUGUGGGAAAGAGCAAGCACUAAAUUACUGUCAGAAAAAUAAACGGAGUAGCACAGUGCUGCUCGGUGAUUUACGGGGGCAAUUAGUCACCACCCCACGGCGCUGCUGAGGACAGCACGGCAGCAGACAAGUCAGGCCCAUGAGGAAGAAGAGGCUUUGCACUGCUCUCCAGACAACUUUUCAAACAACAAGAGAGGAUAUUUGAGCACAUUAGGUUUUGUGUCUUCAUUCUGGCCGUGUGAAGAUGUGCCUGCUUCGCCUUCCAUCAUGACUGAAGUUUCCUGAGGCCUCCCCAGCUAUGCUCCCUAUACAGCCUGCAGAACGGUCGGCUGCCUCCAAUCCUGAGGUCAUCACUCAUCAAGAGGGGAUAAUCCCAGGGACAGCAGGAUCUGCUUCGUUACUUGGAUUUAGGAGCCAGAAACCCAUCAGGCAACUAAACAGUAACAAUGACCCGCCAUUAAACACACUGAGAGAAGAGCAUGAUGAAGAGUUUGUACAAGAAGAAGCCAGGAGCACUUGCUGACAAUGCUUACAGAGACGCAGGCUUCUAUGAGCUCUGCCUGUUGAACUGCAGUAAAAAUAGAUCUCCUUCCCCAGAGAGGCUUGGAUGUGGGCACAAUAUCAGUUCAGACGAUGGUCAAUGCAUGUACUUAAUAGAGUGAAAAGACUUUGGACUGUGAAGUCAGAUUACCUGGGUCUGAAUUGUUAUUCUUCUACUUCUUUGUAGUAUGCUUUCACCACAUUAAAAAUUGUCUGAGCCUCAAUUUUUUUAUCUGCAAAAUGGAGCUAAUACCUACACAGGGGCUUUUAAGAGAAUCAAAUGCAACAAUGUUUGAAAAGCAACAUACUCCCCUUUAUGGAAAAAGAGCCUGUAAAGGAACCAAUACAAUGGCUGGGCGUGGUGACUCACACCUGUAAUCCUAGCACUUUGGGAGGCCGAGGUGGGUGGAUUGCCUGAGCUCAGGAGUUCGAGACCAGCCUGGGCAACAUGGUGAAACCCCGACUCUACUAAAAUACAAAAGAUUAUCCUGGCGUGGUGGUGUGCACCUGUUAUCUAAGCUACUUGGGAGGUUGAAGCAGGAGAAUUGCUGGAACCUGGGAGGCAGAGGUUGCAGUGAGCCAAGAUCACACCACUACACUCCAGCCUGAGUGACACAAGACUGUGUCUCAAAAAUAAAUAAAUGAAUAAGUAAAUAAAUACAAAAUAAAUAAAAUAAAGGAACCAAUACAACAAAGGCUGCUCUCAACAUUUUCCCUGCUCCUAGGCACUCAAUAUCAGAAUAUAGGCUUCUUUCUUUUGCUCAGAUACCAGGGAUAAGAAAUGAGAGAGAGAGAGACAGAGUAAUGUGGAAAGACAGGAAGCCAGAUUCUGGCUCUUAGAGGAAAAAAUUCACUCUAAAUAAUUUUCAGACAAUGUUACUCUCCUUUCU
rnacentral:lncRNA from 10 species